UACGGAGGAUCCAAGCGUUAUCCGGAUUUAUUGGGUUUAAAGGGUGCGUAGGCGGUUAAUUAAGUCAGAGGUGAAAGCCUUCAGCUCAACUGGAGAAAUGCCUUUGAUACUGGUUAACUUGAGUACUGAUGAAGUGGGCGGAAUGUGUCAAGUAGCGGUGAAAUGCAUAGAUAUGACACAGAACACCGAUUGCGAAGGCAGCUCACUAAGGAGUAACUGACGCUGAGGCACGAAAGCGUGGGGAUCAAAC
rnacentral:rRNA from 1 species